GAUGAACGCUGGCGGCGUGCCUAAUACAUGCAAGUCGAGCGAACAGAUGAGAAGCUUGCUUCUCUGAUGUUAGCGGCGGACGGGUGAGUAACACGUGGGUAACCUACCUAUAAGACUAGGAUAACUCCGGGAAACCGGGGCUAAUACCGGAUAAUAUUUUGAACCGCAUGGUUCAAUAGUGAAAGACGGUUUCGGCUGUCCCUUAUAGAUGGACCCGCGCCGUAUUAGCUAGUUGGUAAGGUAACGGCUUACCAAGGCGACGAUACGUUGCCGACCUGAGAGGGUGAUCGGCCACACUGGAACUGAGACACGGUCCAGACUCCUACGGGAGGCAGCAAUAGGGAAUCUUCCGCAAUGGGCGAAAGCCUGACGGAGCAACGCCGCGUGAGUGAUGAAGGUCUUCGGAUCGUAAAACUCUGUUGUUAGGGAAGAACAAAUUUGUUAGUAACUGAACAAGUCUUGACGGUACCUAACCAGAAAGCCACGGCUAACUACGUGCCAGCAGCCGCAGUAA
rnacentral:rRNA from 1 species